rnacentral:lncRNA from 1 species
CUUCAUCCUUGUGACCGCCGGGCAACCUCUCCUUUAUCUUUUCUUUCAGCCCCUUCUUUCUCCUCCCUCCCAUCCCAUCAUCCUCCGAAGACUGCACAUAAAUAAGAGGUAAACAAUUCAUCAGAUAAUAUUUGAUAUCUCGUAACUGUAUUCUGAAUUUGUAGAGAACCUGCAGAUAUAUAUGACAAAUUUGUUUAAAGGGUUUUUACCGAGCUGCUGGAGCUUCCAGAGCGCCGGUGUUGCCCAGUUAGGCCUGCUCCGGUAGUGCCCGGAACAUUUCCACCAUGA